AUGGUUAAUGUGAUUAUGGUCGUUUUUAAUGCUGCCAAAUGCGGUCCCCUAGGUCAUUUCAAUGUGAUUCGGUGUCAUGCCACAAUUGCAGUAUAAUGUGAUUGUGGUGGUCAUCACAACCACAAUAUUGCAACCAUAUUACAUGAUGUGACCCACAAUUUGAAUAACUGAUAACCAGUAUUAGAUAAAAGAUGAAGUUUGUGCUAAACAGUGGAUGCUGAUAUAAUACUUUAUUGAAUCUAUACAAGUUGUUGUUUAAGGUAAGAAAGAGAAGUUUUUACUACAUUGGGUAAUAAUAAUCCUUUUCUCCCUGGUUCCCUUAUUUUCUGUCUAAAUUUGAAUCUGUGUUAAGAAAGCUUCACUCUCUGAAUUGUUUAAGCCUCAAUAGUUUGGAGAAGAAUUCACAACACCAAAAUGGUAAAAAGAAGAAAAAAAAGCAGGGAAGAGAAGAAUAAAUGUUGAGCUACUGAGCUCUAUACACAAAUUAUUAUUACACAUGGGCAACAACACAAUCCUUUUUCAACUUCUACAGCAACCCAAAAAAAAUUGCAUUAUGAACAGUCAAAAACUGUGAUCCUCCCCCUU